rnacentral:lncRNA from 1 species
CACAUUAUUAUUUAUAUAAAAAUAUUACAUAAAAGGAAAUGAAUAAAUUUAUGACAAUUAUAAUUUUUUUCUUAAGUUUUUUCUUAUUAUAAUUGUUAACUAAGUUUAAAAAAAUUUAUAAAAUACGUAGAUUCACUAUUUCUUUUAAUUUUUAUCUUAUAUAUCAUGCAAAAAAAAUAUUUUAUGAAACAAAUUUGUAUCAAAAUUUUAAGAUUAUUUGCAUUAAUCAGAACAUAUGAGAUAUCCGUAAAUAUCCGCAAAUAUUUAUUUAUUUUUCGGAUAUCUGUUUUUCCGAAUAUCCGUAUUUUUCCGAAGCAAAGCAAAUCGAAAAAUUAUAUAUCCGUGUCAUACGAAGAAAAUCACAAAUACCUUCAAAAACCCGAAUAUCCAAUCCCUGUACAGGCCUAUUCAACACUUCUCGACUAUGGAUAUUAAACAUGCUAGGAAUAUCUCUUACUUGAAGUAGAAAUUGUUGAUCUUAAAUUUUCCAAUGAUUUUGUCAGGUAUGUUAUUGGGUAAGACUGGCCCUGAAUCCAAGUAAAACCACGCUUCGCCUUGCCACACCAACAUUAAUAUUUUUAUUUAUCGGCCUUUAUUUUAAUCUACAGUUAAAAAUUUUGAUUAUAAACUUUCAUCCCAUGAAAUCAAGUCCUUUCUUCAUUGAUUUUGUUAGGGUCACAAGCUCGAAACCUCGAUCACUCUCAAUCUCUCAC